CCUACGGGUGGCUGCAGUGAGGAAUAUUGGUCAAUGGGCGCGAGCCUGAACCAGCCAAGUAGCGUGAAGGAUGACUGCCCUAUGGUUUGUAAACUUCUUUUAUAAGGGAAUAAAGUGAGGCACGUGUGCCUUUUUGUAUGUACUUUAUGAAUAAGGAUCGGCUAACUCCGUGCCAGCAGCCGCGGUAAUACGGAGGAUACGAGCGUUAUCCGGAUUUAUUGUGUUUAAAGGGAGCGUAGGUGGGUUGUUAAGUCAGUUGUGAAAGUUUGCGGAUCAACCGUAAAAUUGCAAUUGAGACUGGCAGGCUUGAGUACAGUUGAGGUAGGCGGAAUUCGUGGUGUAGCGGUGAAAUGCUUAGAUAUCUCGAAGAACUCCGAUUGCGAAGGCAGCUUACUAGACUGCCACUGACACUGAGGCUCGAAAGUGUGGGUAUCAAACAGGAUUAGAUACCCUGGUAGUC
rnacentral:rRNA from 1 species